GGAAGGUCCGGGCGUUAUCCGGAUUUAUUGGGGUUUAAAGGGGAGCGUAGGCUGGAGAUUAAGUGUGUUGUGAAAUGUAGACGCUCAACGUCUGACUUGCAGCGCAUACUGUUUUCCUUGAGUACGCACAACGUUGGCGGAAUUCGUCGUGUAGCGGUGAAAUGCUUAGAUAUGACGAAGAACUCCGAUUGCGAAGGCAGCUGACGGGAGCGCAACUGACGCUGAAGCUCGAAGGUGCGGGUAUCGAACAGGAUUAGAUACCCUGGUAGUCCGCACAGUAAACGAUGGAUGCCCGCUGUUGGUACCUGGUAUCAGCGGCUAAGCGAAAGCAUUAAGCAUCCCACCUGGGGAGUACGCCGGCAAACGGUGA
rnacentral:rRNA from 1 species